CGGAGGGUGCAAGCGUUAUCCGGAUUCACUGGGUUUAAAGGGUGCGUAGGUGGGUUGGUAAGUCAGUGGUGAAAUCUCCAGGCUUAACUUGGAAACUGCCAUUGAUACUAUCAAUCUUGAAUACCGUGGAGGUCAGCGGAAUAUGUCAUGUAGCGGUGAAAUGCUUAGAGAUGACAUAGAACACCAAUUGCGAAGGCAGCUGGCUACGCGGAUAUUGACACUGAUGCACGAAAAGCGUGGGGAUCAAACAGGAUUAGAUACCCUGGUAGUCCACGCCCUAAACGAUGGAUACUCGACAUACGCGAUAUACUGUGUGUGUCUGAGCGAAAGCAUUAAGUAUCCCACCUGGGAAGUACGAUCGCAAGAUUG
rnacentral:rRNA from 1 species